GCGCCUGUAGCUCAGCUGGUUAGAGCAGUCGACUCAUAAUCGAUUGGUCGCGGGUUCGAGUCCUGCCGGGCGCA
rnacentral:tRNA from 1 species